AGAGUUUGAUCCUGGCUCAGGACGAACGCUGGCGGCGCGCCUAACACAUGCAAGUCGAACGAAGUCAAGAGGAGCUUGCUCUUUUUGACUUAGUGGCGAACGGGUGAGUAACGCGUGAGGAACCUGCCUCAAAGAGGGGGACAACAGUUGGAAACGACUGCUAAUACCGCAUAAGCCCACAGCUCCGCAUGGAGCAGGGGGAAAAGGAGCAAUCCGCUUUGAGAUGGCCUCGCGUCCGAUUAGCUAGUUGGUGAGGUAACGGCCCACCAAGGCGACGAUCGGUAGCCGGACUGAGAGGUUGAUCGGCCACAUUGGGACUGAGACACGGCCCAGACUCCUACGGGAGGCAGCAGUGGGGAAUAUUGCACAAUGGGGGAAACCCUGAUGCAGCGACGCCGCGUGGAGGAAGAAGGUCUUCGGAUUGUAAACUCCUGUUGUUGGGGAAGAUAAUGACGGUACCCAACAAGGAAGUGACGGCUAACUACGUGCCAGCAGCCGCGGUAAAACGUAGGUCACAAGCGUUGUCCGGAAUUACUGGGUGUAAAGGGAGCGCAGGCGGGAAGACAAGUUGGAAGUGAAAUCUAUGGGCUCAACCCAUAAACUGCUUUCAAAACUGUUUUUCUUGAGUAGUGCAGAGGUAGGCGGAAUUCCCGGUGUAGCGGUGGAAUGCGUAGAUAUCGGGAGGAACACCAGUGGCGAAGGCGGCCUACUGGGCACCAACUGACGCUGAGGCUCGAAAGUGUGGGUAGCAAACAGGAUUAGAUACCCUGGUAGUCCACACUGUAAACGAUGAUUACUAGGUGUUGGGGGAUUGACCCCCUCAGUGCCGCAGUUAACACAAUAAGUAAUCCACCUGGGGAGUACGACCGCAAGGUUGAAACUCAAAGGAAUUGACGGGGGCCCGCACAAGCAGUGGAGUAUGUGGUUUAAUUCGAAGCAACGCGAAGAACCUUACCAGGGCUUGACAUCCUACUAACGAAGCAGAGAUGCAUUAGGUGCCCUUCGGGGAAAGUAGAGACAGGUGGUGCAUGGUUGUCGUCAGCUCGUGUCGUGAGAUGUUGGGUUAAGUC
rnacentral:rRNA from 1 species